rnacentral:rRNA from 1 species
GCGUACACGGUGGAUGCCCUGGCAGUCAGAGGCGAUGAAGGACGUGCUAAUCUGCGAUAAGCGUCGGUAAGGUGAUAUGAACCGUUAUAACCGGCGAUUUCCGAAUGGGGAAACCCAGUGUGAUUCGUCACACUAUCAUUAACUGAAUCCAUAGGUUAAUGAGGCGAACCGGGGGAACUGAAACAUCUAAGUACCCCGAGGAAAAGAAAUCAACCGAGAUUCCCCCAGUAGCGGCGAGCGAACGGGGAGCAGCCCAGAGCCUGAAUCAGUGUGUGUGUUAGUGGAAGCGUCUGGAAAGGCGUGCGAUACAGGGUGACAGCCCCGUACACAAAAAUGCACAUACUGUGAGCUCGAUGAGUAGGGCGGGACACGUGGUAUCCUGUCUGAAUAUGGGGGGACCAUCCUCCAAGGCUAAAUACUCCUGACUGACCGAUAGUGAACCAGUACCGUGAGGGAAAGGCGAAAAGAACCCCGGCGAGGGGAGUGAAAAAGAACCUGAAACCGUGUACGUACAAGCAGUGGGAGCACGCUUAGGCGUGUGACUGCGUACCUUUUGUAUAAUGGGUCAGCGACUUAUAUUCUGUAGCAAGGUUAACCGAAUAGGGGAGCCGAAGGGAAACCGAGUCUUAACUGGGCGUUAAGUUGCAGGGUAUAGACCCGAAACCCGGUGAUCUAGCCAUGGGCAGGUUGAAGGUUGGGUAACACUAACUGGAGGACCGAACCGACUAAUGUUGAAAAAUUAGCGGAUGACUUGUGGCUGGGGGUGAAAGGCCAAUCAAACCGGGAGAUAGCUGGUUCUCCCCGAAAGCUAUUUAGGUAGCGCCUCGUGAAUUCAUCUCCGGGGGUAGAGCACUGUUUCGGCAAGGGGGUCAUCCCGACUUACCAACCCGAUGCAAACUGCGAAUACCGGAGAAUGUUAUCACGGGAGACACACGGCGGGUGCUAACGUCCGUCGUGAAGAGGGAAACAACCCAGACCGCCAGCUAAGGUCCCAAAGUCAUGGUUAAGUGGGAAACGAUGUGGGAAGGCCCAGACAGCCAGGAUGUUGGCUUAGAAGCAGCCAUCAUUUAAAGAAAGCGUAAUAGCUCACUGGUCGAGUCGGCCUGCGCGGAAGAUGUAACGGGGCUAAACCAUGCACCGAAGCUGCGGCAGCGACGCUUAUGCGUUGUUGGGUAGGGGAGCGUUCUGUAAGCCUGUGAAGGUGUGCUGUGAGGUAUGCUGGAGGUAUCAGAAGUGCGAAUGCUGACAUAAGUAACGAUAAAGCGGGUGAAAAGCCCGCUCGCCGGAAGACCAAGGGUUCCUGUCCAACGUUAAUCGGGGCAGGGUGAGUCGACCCCUAAGGCGAGGCCGAAAGGCGUAGUCGAUGGGAAACAGGUUAAUAUUCCUGUACUUGGUGUUACUGCGAAGGGGGGACGGAGAAGGCUAUGUUGGCCGGGCGACGGUUGUCCCGGUUUAAGCGUGUAGGCUGGUUUUCCAGGCAAAUCCGGAAAAUCAAGGCCGAGGCGUGAUGACGAGGCACUACGGUGCUGAAGCAACAAAUGCCCUGCUUCCAGGAAAAGCCUCUAAGCAUCAGGUAACAUCAAAUCGUACCCCAAACCGACACAGGUGGUCAGGUAGAGAAUACCAAGGCGCUUGAGAGAACUCGGGUGAAGGAACUAGGCAAAAUGGUGCCGUAACUUCGGGAGAAGGCACGCUGAUACGUAGGUGAAGCGACUUGCUCGUGGAGCUGAAAUCAGUCGAAGAUACCAGCUGGCUGCAACUGUUUAUUAAAAACACAGCACUGUGCAAACACGAAAGUGGACGUAUACGGUGUGACGCCUGCCCGGUGCCGGAAGGUUAAUUGAUGGGGUUAGCGCAAGCGAAGCUCUUGAUCGAAGCCCCGGUAAACGGCGGCCGUAACUAUAACGGUCCUAAGGUAGCGAAAUUCCUUGUCGGGUAAGUUCCGACCUGCACGAAUGGCGUAAUGAUGGCCAGGCUGUCUCCACCCGAGACUCAGUGAAAUUGAACUCGCUGUGAAGAUGCAGUGUACCCGCGGCAAGACGGAAAGACCCCGUGAACCUUUACUAUAGCUUGACACUGAACAUUGAGCCUUGAUGUGUAGGAUAGGUGGGAGGCUUUGAAGUGUGGACGCCAGUCUGCAUGGAGCCGACCUUGAAAUACCACCCUUUAAUGUUUGAUGUUCUAACGUGGACCCGUGAUCCGGGUUGCGGACAGUGUCUGGUGGGUAGUUUGACUGGGGCGGUCUCCUCCUAAAGAGUAACGGAGGAGCACGAAGGUUGGCUAAUCCUGGUCGGACAUCAGGAGGUUAGUGCAAUGGCAUAAGCCAGCUUGACUGCGAGCGUGACGGCGCGAGCAGGUGCGAAAGCAGGUCAUAGUGAUCCGGUGGUUCUGAAUGGAAGGGCCAUCGCUCAACGGAUAAAAGGUACUCCGGGGAUAACAGGCUGAUACCGCCCAAGAGUUCAUAUCGACGGCGGUGUUUGGCACCUCGAUGUCGGCUCAUCACAUCCUGGGGCUGAAGUAGGUCCCAAGGGUAUGGCUGUUCGCCAUUUAAAGUGGUACGCGAGCUGGGUUUAGAACGUCGUGAGACAGUUCGGUCCCUAUCUGCCGUGGGCGCUGGAGAACUGAGGGGGGCUGCUCCUAGUACGAGAGGACCGGAGUGGACGCAUCACUGGUGUUCGGGUUGUCAUGCCAAUGGCACUGCCCGGUAGCUAAAUGCGGAAGAGAUAAGUGCUGAAAGCAUCUAAGCACGAAACUUGCCCCGAGAUGAGUUCUCCCUGACCCUUUAAGGGUCCUGAAGGAACGUUGAAGACGACGACGUUGAUAGGCCGGGUGUGUAAGCGCAGCGAUGCGUUGAGCUAACCGGUACUAAUGAACCGUGAGGCUUAACCUUACAACGCCGAAG